rnacentral:lncRNA from 1 species
AGUAUAUCAAGUUAUCAAAUAACAAAAAUGCAGUAUAUUGUGGAAGUGUACAUAGACCAAGUAGUAACUUUAAAAAAGUAAUUUUCUUGUUAGAGUACCACAGUUUGGGUUCAAGGACAAAAAAUGCAUUUUAGAGAACAGACAACAAUAAAUCUGUGCAGUUUGUCUUAACUUAGAGUAAGAUUGUCAAAGUGGGGCAGCAGGUGGCCUAGUGGUUAGGGACCAUCGAUUUGUAAUUGUAAGGUUCCUGGUUUCAAUCAGUGCUUCUGCAGUAGCACCUUUCAUCAAGGUGCUUGUCCUGAAGUGUUACAGUAAAAAUUAGCCAGCUGUAUUAAUAGGUAAAUUGCUGUAAGUGAGCUUAGCAUUGCAGGUUUCUUUGGAGGAAAACAUUGGCUACAUGAAUUAGUGAUGAUAAUAAGCAGUUGUGUCUGUAAAUGAGUUUGGCCUCAGCAGGGAAGGCAGUGGAUGAUGCCGCCUCUCCUCACCUGUGUGGUGAUCUGCAACAGGGCCCCUCUCCUCAGGAUCCCUCCACCUCCAUCCCCCGCAGACGCCCUGCUUCUUCUUCACCAGGAAGGAGCGUGGCAUUGCUGGCCUUCGGUUCGGCUCUCUUAAGUGUUUACGUGUCCGCUGCCCCCGCAGAACUGUCCUCGCAUUCAGUUGCCUCUCCGUUUAUUCCUGCGUGUGCGGCUCAUGAAGGGGGUGUCAUCUUACCUGGAUCACCUGUGCACCCCCAGCCCCACGGCCCAGCCCUGAACCCAUACAGAUCCUCCCAACGCGAGAACAAACUUUCCACCUUACUCCUGCUUUGUACUCUGGGUUUACCCUAAAGCAAAUGGCUUGUCAGCAUCACCGAUGACCAAUGGCCCUGUUGAACUGUGCUGCUCCUUGCAUGACAAGCGCUUUCUCUCCAAGACAACAUUAGGCAAAUGAUAUAGAGGUCAAGUGCGGAACAAGCCAGACAGCGCUGAGACCUGCGUGUGUGUGUUUGUAUGCGUGCAUUAGUGCGCAUGCACCUGCAUUCCUCCAUCUCUGUUUACAACCUCCGAGACCUGCAAGGAGGAGAUGCAAUGUCCCAGUAAGUGCUCGAGUGCUAAGUAAUUGGUGUCUAUGCAGAAUAUUAAGUAAAAAUUGU